GACACAGAGACUGAGGAAGGGGCAAAAGAGAAGCACAAAGUGGUUGGUAGGGGAGAAAGAGACACACAGAUGAUCUUGGGAGGGAGACACACAGAGGAGACUUAGGAGGAAAAAGACACACAGAGGGGCCUGGGAGUGAAAUGGACACACACAAAGAGCUGGGAAGAGUAAAGACAGAAAGGGUCUUGGCAGAGUACGACACGCAAAGUGGUUGGGAGAAUGUAGGAGACGUACAAAGAGGGGGUAUAAGAGACACACAGGGCUUUUAAGAG